ACGGAAACUAAAACAGAAGUGUCCUCAUCGUGUGAAAGCAAACCAAACAAAGCAAGUGCAUCUUACGUUGCAUUGCAAGAAAUACAAACCUCAGUUCGAAAAAGUGAAUCAGAAAAAGGUGAAACAAACAGCAGCAGCAGCAGCAGUAACAAAACAAAA